ACCCCUCCCUCCCCCACUUCCGUCUCUUACCUCCUCCUCCCCCCUCCCUGCUCGUCUUGGGAGGCUCCUCCGGAUGGAGAGGUCGGUGCGCUCGAGAGGGAUUCUGCGCGCAGGGCGAGGGGAGAGACUCUGAUUCACAAGUCUAAGCACGUUUUGCUAGAAAAAGAAAAUUACAGAAACGUGAAGGGGAAAUUGAGAGGAUUUCCUUUCCCCCUACUCAGAAGCAAGCGAUAGAAA